GGUGAGAUGGCCGAGUGGUUAUGGCGGUACGUUCAGGUAUCAACCUGGAUCUAACAAAUCUAAUCGAUAUUUCGUACUGGAGCAAUCCGCGUGGGUUCGAGUCCCACUCUCAUCA